GUUCUGUAUAAUUAUGUAAGACUGAGGUUGAUAGGUAAUGUGGUCAAUUUGAUUGGCAGUUUAGGAGGUGGGGCAUUGUAAUUUAAGGUCCACCUUGUCUCUGAUUGUUUACUGAUAAUGACAGUUGCCAAGCAUACUAGUUGAAUCAAUACCCAGUUACCUAAUCAAAAUGUUUUUUUAAAAAGCCUGCACAUCAACACACCUUAAUGACAUACAUUUUUGAAUGAACUGCUCCAAUAAUAUACCCAGUUUUUUUUCAGUUUAUAUGUGUAGUAUGUGCACAUAAAUGAGAACCAUAGGGAACUAUAUUUCAGUGUGAAUACAUUUAGUAACAGUAGCUAACCUGUCCUGUUGUUAGGGAGGCUGGUGCCUAAGUAAAGAUUUAGAACAAGUUCU
rnacentral:lncRNA from 1 species